UCUCCGUUGGUGAACCAGCGGAGGGAUCAUUACCGAGUUAUCAACUCCCAAACCCCUGUGAACAUACCCAACGUUGCUUCGGCGGGACCGCCCCGGCGCCCUCGGCGUCCCGGAACCAGGCGCCCGCCGGAGGACCCACACUCUUGUUUAAACCAUAGUGGCAUAUGCUGAGUCUCACAAGAAAAAUGAAUCAAAACUUUCAACAACGGAUCUCUUGGCUCUG
rnacentral:misc_RNA from 1 species